CCUACGGGAGGCAGCAGUGAGGAAUAUUGGUCAAUGGCCGGAAGGCUGAACCAGCCAUGCCGCGUGAAGGUCAGUGCCCUAUGGGCGUUAAACUUCUUUUGUGCGGGAGCAAUAAUGGUCACGUGUGGCCAGACGAGAGUACCGUACGAAUAAGCAUCGGCUAACUCCGUGCCAGCAGCCGCGGUAAUACGGGGGAUGCAAGCGUUAUCCGGAUUUAUUGGGUUUAAAGGGUGCGUAGGCUGGGAGGUAAGUCAGCGGUGAAAUGCCCCGGCUCAACGGGGUGAAGUGCCAUUGAUACUGCCUUGCUGGAGUGCGGAUGCCGUGGGAGGAAUGUGUGGUGUAGCGGUGAAAUGCAUAGAUAUCACGCAGAACACCGAUUGCGAAGGCAGCUCACGAGUCCGCGAUUGACGCUGAUGCACGAAAGCGUGGGUAUCAAACAGGAUUAGAUACCCCAGUAGUC
rnacentral:rRNA from 1 species